AUUUGAACAUCUGUUCCCGAACGAUCACCGAAGUUAAGCAACGUCGAGCCUGAUCAGUACCUAGACGGGUGACCGCUUGGAAAUACCACGUGUUGUAAG